GACUUAUUGCCCUUAAUUUACACAUAUUGACCUAAUAGCACUCUGUCCUUCUAGGGUAUUUUUCAGUCAGCAUUCAAAUCAAGCCUAUGGAUUCCCUGCCCCAUCACACCUGCCAGAGCCUGCUCACAUACCCUCCAUUUCAUUUCCUGAUGGCCAUAUUGAUGAAGACUUAAAUGCCCCAUUGGAUUUUCUGGUCAUGGAUGGAUGUAGUUAGAAGAGAGCUACUUUGUCACGGCAGCCUUGAGAUCCAGGCACUGCUCAGGUAAUGACUGGUUAUUUUUAGAAUCUUCACUCUGUGAUUUAUGUUCUGUUUGUAUGCCCUGCGAAUUGAGCUGUGUGGGAGCUGUGCUGCAAUACAGAGAGAGACGAG
rnacentral:lncRNA from 1 species